AUGGCACAGAGCACUCAUCCUGCCCCGUGUUACGUCUGUCGUCAGGAGCAGGGUUAUCUAAAGUUUGAUCCAGCACAGAGUCUGAGCUUGCAUCCCCAGAAGGAUGGGACAUGGGCCCCGAGGUACCAAAUGCAGCAUUACAAGCCAUGACUUAUGUCAGGAGAAAAG
rnacentral:lncRNA from 1 species